UCCGUCGAGCCGGAGUCGAACCAGCGACCUAUGGAUUUCGGCGAAUACCCACUACAGUCCACCGCUCUGCCAACUGAGCUAUCGACGG
rnacentral:tRNA from 13 species